rnacentral:misc_RNA from 1 species
UACGAAUGGAGCAAGCGUUGUUCGGAAUCACUGGGCUUAAAGCGUGCGCAGGCGGACAAGAAAGUCAGAAGUGAAAGCCCUGGGCUCAACCCAGGAACUGCUUUUGAAACUCCUUGUCUAGAAUCCGGGAGAGGUCAGUAGAAUUCCAAGUGUAGAGGUGAAAUUCGCAGAGAUUUGGAGGAAUACCAGUGGCGUAGGCGACUGACUGGACCGGUAUUGACGCUCAGGCACGAAAGCGUGGGGAGCAAACAGG